rnacentral:lncRNA from 1 species
AUGAAGCUCCCAGUUCUCUUUCUUUUGUUUUGUUUUCUGGAUAAAAGCUAAUAUGAAAGACACCUAUUUUUGCUUUAUCAAGAAAGGCAAAUGUAGACAUGUAUGCAGUAAUGUUGAAAUGAGAGUUGUUGCCUGCACAAACUAAGUGCUAACUUUUGCAUCAUUAUGCCUGAAGUUCAAAGCAUGGUGAGUAUAAAGAUUAGUAAUAAAGACAACUGA